CAUUUUGAAUCUGAAGUGUGACUACUAGAAUUGAAAAGACAGUUGGUACACAACCCAGCUUACUGUUACUUCAGUUUUGCUUAUCAGUAAAGACAUAUCCUAAAGCGACAUCUGCAUUUGUUACUGGAGAUUUCUACUUACACAGCACAGUGCAAUGGAGAGAAGCUAUUACCAUAGAAUUUGUGGAAAAGUUUUUGUUCCAAUAGUACCUCUAUGCAGUUUUCAUGACCUAUAAGAGAUCAGAUAUUUCACAGUGUUGCACAAAGCAGAGGCCACUGCUACCCUGUACGGAGCUCCUCCAGGAACAGCAGAGGAGACACCUUCCCUUUGGCACCUCCAGAUAUUUACCUGACAGGUACAUAUCCAAUAACAACCUUC